UAAGUCUAAUUUCACCGCAAUAAUCGCGUAACAAUUUCGCCUUUUACUAAAUUAUUCCGUGCGGAGGAAUUUUAUAAUGACGUAUUAUAUACAUUUUUAAGGUUGUGAAAACAACCA
rnacentral:snRNA from 1 species